rnacentral:tRNA from 1 species
CAGAAAGUAGUUUAACUAUGGAUAUAAUGUUGGCUUUGGGAGCCAAUGGUGGCGGUUUGACUCCGUCCUUUCUGA